GAGUUUGAUCCUGGCUCAGGAUGAACGCUAGCGGCAGGCUUAACACAUGCAAGUCGAGGGGUAACAGGGAGAAGCUUGCUUUUCCGCUGACGACCGGCGCACGGGUGCGUAACGCGUAUAGAACCUACCUUUUACAGGGGAAUAGCCCAGAGAAAUUUGGAUUAAUGCCCCAUAGUAUUAUAGAAUGGCAUCAUUUUAUAAUUAAACAUUUAUGGGUAAAAGAUGGCUAUGCGUUCUAUUAGCUAGAUGGUAAGGUAACGGCUUACCAUGGCAACGAUAGAUAGGGGUCCUGAGAGGGAGACCCCCCACACUGGUACUGAGACACGGACCAGACUCCUACGGGAGGCAGCAGUGAGGAAUAUUGGACAAUGGAGGCAACUCUGAUCCAGCCAUGCCGCGUGCAGGAAGACGGCCCUAUGGGUUGUAAACUGCUUUUAUAUAGGAAGAAACCUUUCCACGUGUGGAAAGCUGACGGUACUAUAAGAAUAAGCACCGGCUAACUCCGUGCCAGCAGCCGCGGUAAUACGGAGGGUGCAAGCGUUAUCUGGAAUCAUUGGGUUUAAAGGGUCCGUAGGCGGACUAAUAAGUCAGGGGUGAAAUCCAACAGCUUAACUGUUGAACUGCCCUUGAUACUGUUAGUCUUGAAUUAUAUGGAAGUAGAUAGAAUGUGUAGUGUAGCGGUGAAAUGCUUAGAGAUUACACAGAAUACCGAUUGC
rnacentral:rRNA from 1 species